rnacentral:rRNA from 1 species
CGAAAAGUUAUGUAAGGGCGUAUGGGGGAUGCCUAGGCUCUCAGAGGCGAAGAAGGACGUGAUAAGCUGCGAAAAGUUGCGUGGAUUGGCACAUACGAGUUGAUACGCAAAUAUCCGAAUGGGGCAACCCAGUACAUUGAAGAUGUACUACAUCGUAAAGAUGGGCAAACCCGCUGAACUGAAACAUCUAAGUAGGCGGAGGAGAAGAAAACAAAAGUGAUUCCCAAAGUAGUGGCGAGCGAAAUGGGAACAGCCCAAACCCAUAUUGUUACGGCAAUAUGGGGGUAGUAGGACCCAGAUAUAGGUUGUAAAGCUGGAUUAGAAGUGUUUGGAAAGACACACCAUAGAGAGUGAUAGUCUCGUAUAGGCACAGUUUUAUAAAUCUUAUGGGUAUCCUGAGUAGGUCGGGGCACGUGGAACCUUGACUGAAUCCACCGGGACCAUCCGGUAAGGCUAAAUACUCCUGAGAGACCGAU